ensembl:lncRNA
AAAGGGAAUGGACGAUGCGGGCAGAUCUGUCAAUCAAGCAGCAGCCUUCCCCCAAGACACCAAUGUCUGCAUACAGACACUCAUCCAUACACCUCCACCGGCUGCAGAUCCUCCUCAGCUCAAUGAGUAACCAACCCACAGGAAAGAGCCUAGAGUCAAUCAUCCCUGAUGGAGAUCCUUCUCCAGUGGCGACUGCUCAAUUCUAUCUGUUUACAUAAACAACGUGUCUUAAUAAUACAUGUUUCCACAGACACAAUCGAUUCGUCUGGAGUAAACAAGGAAGCCAGCAAGUCUCACGUUGUAAGAGGCGGAUGUUAGACUCCAGACGCAACAGGACCACUGAAUGCUUAAUCAACCCGACACUGAUGUCAACGUUUCCACAAGUUAAAACAGAGAUAUUUGCAGGCUUGUGUUUGAAUUUUCCAAUUCGUGAUUAAAUGCAAUAGCAUUGUAGUAAUAUAGUUCUAAUAAAUUAUUAAUCAUGAAUAAUAUCAUUAAUUAUGCAAAUCAACGUGCAUUAUUUUUGGACUUCGACUGACUUUAGCUCUUUGGUUAAAUAAUGUCUGAACAUAUUGACUUACAUUAAUACAAAUUUAUAUGAAAAAAAAAACGUUUAGUGAAACUGCGUUUGUAAUUCAAAGCACUGUCAUAAUGUAAAAUAGUUACAGUGUUGACAGCCUGGAGCGCUCAUCUGCCCUGCGCCUCUUUUCUACCUGCGCGACAAAAAAGCGCUUUCUGAAAGGAGCGUCCGUCCAUUCCCUCCUUUUCGCUUCUGUUACAGGCCUUCCAGAGCGGCUUCCCUCCGUAUUCCUCUGCAGCAUCUCAGUGUUCCAACGAACGCACGAGAGGUUAAAUAAAAGCGUACUCCAGAUAGGAAAGACGUUGGGUUAUUUCUUAAAAAAAAAAAAGAAAACAGAAAGGAAAAAAGUAUUCCUUAUGGUCAGUAUUUCCUGAAAGGAGCGCAAUUUCAUAUCCUGGAAAAAAAAAAUAAGCACGCAUGAAGGUUCACAUGCAUGGAUAGGUCCCGAACAGAAGAGAGAUCCAUAAAUGUGAGCGAAAUCAUGCGGGUCAGAGGGACCCCGGGCCUCCGGUGUGACGGCAGCGGCCCGCAGGUGCGCGGUGUGAGCUGUGGGAUGCUCUGCAGCUUCUCCGGCUCCACGCGUCAACUGUUAAAAGUACUAUUUUAAAGGUGAUUUUAUUUCUGUUAUUCAUUCCUAAAAUCCGAAGGAUGGGACUCUCAUUAGGGGCGAAUAAGCAAGCAUCAACACUUUUUUUCGCUGUCCAUAAGCACAGGGAUCACUUAAUAGAUCAUUAACCACCGAUAUGCUGCUGACAUGCACGCUUUUUUACAUCUCGUCUCUCCAUUACAGCUCGUGAUUACCGAGGGAGGACAGCCGCCGGCAGGCCUGCCAGGAUCUAUUAGACGGUGGACUCAGGUUAUAUUAGAGAGCAUUACGACCUAAUGGGGCUGCCGCUGUAGGUCGGCCUCUCGGGGAGAGGGGUUUAGGUCGGCUCGGCACGACAUGACUUACUCACAUCACUUCUGUUAGGGAGUUAGGGAGGGAAACUCAGCUCACCUACAGAUGAAGGACUUAAGGACAAAGUUUUUGCCAGAACGUUUUUAUUUGCGAGAAAAACAGAUGCUUGUUAAUUAGAUAAAAAGACGACGUGUGGUCCAGAUAAAAUAAAUUAAUUAAUAAAAAAAAGAAAACAGACAUUGAUUGGCAGUUAGCAAAAGGUACAUUGGUGUUAUUAUUUUAAAAUGAAAUUCAAAUUAAAAUCACAUUUGGAUUGUUUUGUAUCCCCUUAAUCACUCCAGUGUCUAAGACAGCGCGUAUUAUAAUUAGGAGACCAAAAAACGGAGUAUAAUAAAGUUGAGAUGUCAUUGAAGGAUGACUAAUUGGUUAC